AUGGCCCAACCAGCCUUGGUCUGCAGACCUGUGCAGUCUGGUGAUACCAGUGGGGACACCGUGAGGAAAUCCCCCCAUCAGCAGGACCCGUCAACAACACAGGCACACGGCCCAGUGUGGCAUCCUCAGCCCCAGCAGUCUGUAGACAUUAAGGGGGAGAUCAUGGAGCACAACCGAGCCAUGUCACUCACAUCAGCCUCCUCAACACAAACAUGUUUCCUGAUGCUGAUACUGGUGGUGGCAUGGGUAGAUGGUGCUAUUGAACACACUCAGCCCAGUUCCAUCAUGGUAAAGCCAGGAGAGUCUCUGACAGUUACCUGCAAAGUGACUGGAGCUUCCAUUACAGAUGGCAGCAGCUACUGGGGAACAGCCUGGAUUCGUCAAGCAGCAGAGAAACCUCUAGAGUGGAUCAACAUGCUCCGCCACGAUGGAAACAAAUUUGAAAACAAUGCCCUGAAGAACAAGUUCAGUGUCUCCAGAGACACGUCCAGUAACACAGUGACUCUACAGGGCCAGAAUCUACAGGCUGGAGACACAGCUGUGUAUUACUGUGCCCGAGAGUCACUGUGA